UUGAUAUGUCUCGAGUCCUCUUGGAAGAGAGGGUUGCCUUCGAGGACGUGGACACAGGUGAUGCAUGGCUGUCGUCAGCUCGUGCUGUAAGGCGUUGGGUUAAGGCCCGCAACUAGCGCAACCCUCGUGUUAAAUAUUACAAAAUUUAAAAAUGAAGGCAUGUUAGAAUACAUAUUUCAAUA
rnacentral:ncRNA from 1 species